GACAUCUUUUCUUCUCAGCCACUGCCUUCCGGACUUCGACUCCCUUGUUGUCGCCCAGUCAGAGGUCGACAAGUUAAGGGGUGAGCUCCAAAGCAGUCAGUCUCGCAAGGAUCAGCUUGCUCGAGAGGUCAAAACUUUGCAAGAGCACAUUACUGGCCUAUCGGGAGAGAAAGCUCGGGUGGAGAAGGACCGCGAUGAGUUGAGGGUCACCAACGAUGAUCUGUUAUCCCGACAAAAGACAAUGGCGGAGGAUGCGUUCUCACUUAUCAUGAUGGAGGUGUGGAGCGUGGAUCUGGAAUUGGAGGUACCCCGCAUGCAGAAAUUUGUCAAUAAGGCCACAAUUUUGAAGACAAUUGCGGAGAGGAAGAAGUCUUCCCAAGCACGGUCGAGUACCCUUUCCGGGUCACCUAGGGUACCCCGCGCGCUUCAGCCGUUGCCUGCCUCGGAUGCCCUUACUUCGGCUGCUCAUAUUCCGGGUAUCUCGGAAUCCUCUGCUGAUCGCCCUCUGGAGACGGAUGUUGGGGAUGGCGUUCCCCCCUCGGUGUAGCCUUUUCACUGUGCUCUUGUUUUUUCGGAUCUAUCCACAUUUUUCUAUUUGGACCUUGUUUCUUUCUUUUUGGUUUCUUAGGAUAUUUUGUAUUAUUGGGACUUCUCUUUUGUUAUGAUACCAUGCCACCGAGUCUUCUUGUACUUUGCAUGCUUGUUGUUCUGCAAAUGAAUGUUUGGUUAAACUGUUAUCUCGUAAAUUUUCAGGGUACCUUUUUUUUUUUUAAAUGGGGCACCCCCGAUACCUUAUUAAAUAUUCAACAUCAGGUGCUACCUGGUGUACACAGAUCGGUGAAUUUGGUGCCUGCCCUUCUCGGCAACCAUGACGGAUUUCUCACAAAUAGGUAAUCAAAAUAUCAUCGCGACAUCUCGAUCAAACGUUGAAAGCGUAAUUGGUCCAACCAAUCACUUUCUUAUUCUUUCGAAGUUCUCUCUGAAUUUUUCAAAUAACUUACCCCUUACUUUGCUCAAGUAAGAGGACGGAGGUGUGGGUGUACUCAUACCUAAGCUGAACCUCGUGGCGCUAGGGUAUGCCGGUUUUACUCCACCCUCGGGUCCUCUUUGACCCUUUCUCUCUUUGUUUAGGUAGCUUUGUCAUGCUUCCGCAGAAAGGCUACCCCUAGGCUAUUCACUCCGUUGUCCAUCUUGGCUUUGCAUAGAUCGUCACGAUCUAGGCAUAUCAGGUACCCUGGCUGGUCCUGUGAUAAGUUAGUCAUAAUUGACAAGCGUAUGGCGAGAAUUGCAUAUAAUCAGAUGCGAGGGUAUAUUAAUGGCGAUAAAUGAAUAUAAUCCGCAUUCUAAGAUCGAAAUGGCGAAAAAUAGAGAAAGAACCCACAUCAUAUUUGUUGAGAAAGAAAAUGCAUUUAUAGAUAACGAAAGCGUUGAUCAAUACAUGACUUAGCGUUGAUCAAUACAUGACUUAGCUUUGUUACCCUGAGGAGAAUGGGAGACCGUAAGACCUCCUACCCUUUUCAUUUGAAAAUUAAAGAAACUCUAAAGUUGCAACUGACCAACAUAGGGCAUUUGGGGUACCUCAUUUGGCCUACCACCCAAAAACAUUCAAGAAAGCAAAUAACAGCAAAAGACUAGAGGUUAAGACACUGUCAUUUACUAAUAUUUCCGUAGCAUUGCAGCAUUGCAGCAUUCUAGGGGUGCCUCACGAUUGUGCCAUUCAUGUGGAGUAGCUUGUAUGCACCUGUCCCAACGGGUUUGUCGAUGCAGUAAGGUCCUUCCCAAUUUGCCCCAAAAGUACCCUCGUGUUCUGAGUUACCCUUCUCAAGAUCAAGUCCCCUUUCUUGAAGGAUCGAUGGCGCACCUUUUUUUCAUAUAAACCCGAAAUGCGAUGUUGAUAUAUGGCUGUCCUCAAUUCUGUUCUAGCCCUUUUUUCAACCACCAAAUCAAGGUUUGAAGCAACCAAGGAGGUGUUCUCGGCCUCAUCAAAGUAUUCAACCCUGUGAGAGGGUACCCCGAUUUCCACUAGGAUCACUGCGUCAGCACCGAAUGCGAGGGAAAACAGGGUCUCCCUGGUGGAGGUGUUUUGAGUAGUCCGGUAGGCCCACAGAACCCCAGGUAACUCGUCUAUCCAUGCUCCAUUUCUUUCUUCUAGCUUCUUCUUCAGGAUGCCUUUGAUAAUCUUAUUAACGGCUUUGACUUGCCCAUUAGAUUGGGGAUGGGCAGGUGUAGCAAAUUAGUUGGCUAUCCCUAGCUCCGAACAAAAACUUCAAAAAUUUUCAUUAUCGAAUUGUUUGCCAUUAUCACUAAUAAUUACAUAGGGGAUCCCAAAUCUGCAAAUGAGGUUCUUCCAAAUGAAUUCUGUGGUAUUCCUUUCUGUGAUGCUUGUUAGUGGCUCCGCUUCCGCCCACUUUGUGAAAUAAUUUACCGCCACGAUUGCAUAUUUUGCUUGCCCCCUCCCGGUAGGUAACGGCCCAAUGAGGUCCACUCCCCACAUAGCGAAGGGCCAAGGGGAAGAUAUAACUGUUAGCUUUUCUGAGGGUAGGUGGGGUACCCUGGCGAACCUUUGGCAUUUGUCACAGCUUCGUACCAUAUUCUUGGCAUCUUCCCGCAUGGUUGGCCAGUAGUACCCCUGACGGAGAGCUUUUUGCGCCAGUGAUUGUGCUCCAUAGUGAUUGCCACAAAUCCCCUCAUGUAUCUCCCUAAUGACAUACUCGGCCUUGUCGCUUCCCAAGCAUUUAAGGUAAGGAAGAGUGAACCCUCUUCUGUAUAGGGUAUCUUGGAUCAGGCAAUAUCGCGCGGCUUUAUACUUUAGUCUUUUUGCUUCACUUUUAUCUGAGGGGAGGUCUCCGUCCUUGAGGUACCUUAUGAUAGGCUCCAUCCAAAGUACCUCGUUGGAUAGUGAUCCUACUUCUAACGACUCUAGGAGAUCAAUGCUGGGGGUAGGUAUGUGUUCUGUCGUGAUGGGGCCAGCUGACUGAGCUACACCAAGGGAUGCCAUUUUUGCUAGGGUGUCGGCUUCACUGUUCUCCAGUCGGGGUACCCUUUCCACCUUAACCUCGCAAAAUUAGGACAUCAACUCUCUGGUUUUUCCGCGGUACCCCUUCAUGUUUUCCUCUUUCGCUUGAUAUUGUGCGGUAAUCUGGCUUACUACCAACUGGGAGUCGCUCUUGACGUGUACCAUUUUUACUCCCAAAGCCUUCGACAUCCUCAACCCCACUAUGAUGGCCUCGUAUUCGGCUUCGUUGUUUGAAGCCUUGAAUCCAAAUUGCAAAGCGUAACAUAUUUUCACCUUAUUCGGGUUGAUUAUAAUAACUCCCGCACCACUUCCGUGUGAGUUAGAGGAAUCGUCUACAUAGAUUUUCCAGACCUGCCCCCCUUCAUCGGUGGGUGGGGUAUCUAACAGGUAUCUCGGAUCACCUUCACCACUUGAGUCAUUGGCGAAUUCCGCAAUGAAAUCAGCGAUGGCCUGGGCUUUAAUCGUCGAACGAGGCUUGAAGAUGAUGUCGAACUCGCUUAAUUCGAGGGACCAUCGGAGAAGCCUUCCGGACAUGUCUAACUUCUGGAGGAUUUGCCGAAGGGGAAGGUUGGUGACGACUGCAAUGGUGUGAGCCUAAAAAUAUGGUCUGAGCUUUCGUGCGGAGACAACCAAUGCCAAAACGAUCUUUUCAGAGGUGGGGUACCUCUUUUCGGCAUCAACCAUAGCCUUACUAGUAUAGUAAAUAGGUUGUUGUACCCCAUUAUCAUCAUUUCGGAGUAACAUAGAGCUGGUGGCAUGCUCGGAUACGGCGAGAUACAACAGAAGCACCUCUCCCGGCUUAGGUUUGGCAAGUACUGGAGCAUUCAUGAGGUACCCCUUCAGUUCUUGAAAAGCCUCUUCGCAAUCGGGUGUCCAUUGGAGCUUCUUACCGGUCUUAAGAGCUUUGAAAAAGGGCUUACACCGGUCGGUAGCCUUGGAGAUAAAGCGGCUCAGGGUAGCUACCCAACCUGCCAAGCUUUAAACCUCCUUGAUGGUGCUUGGCGAUUUCACGUCCAGAACCGCGUGAAUUUUAUCGGGGUUGGCUUCAAUCCUCCGUUGUUGUACCAUGAACCCGAGAAACGUUCCUGAGGUGACCCCGAACGCACAUUUUUCAGGGUUAAGCAGCAUCUGGUGUCUUCUUAAAACGGUAAAGGUAUCUCUGAGGUGCCCCAGGUGUUCCCCCGUAUGCACCGAUUUGGUGAUCAUAUCGUCUAUGUACACCUCCAUGGUGCGCCCAAUUUGUUCCUUGAAAGUUUUGUUCACUAGCCGCUGAUAGGUAGCCCCAGCAUUCUUCAAACCGAACGGCAUAACCUUAUAACAGUAUAACCCACGGUUGGUGAUGAAGGCCGUUUUCUCUUGAUCGGGUUCAUACAUUGGGAUUUGGUUGUAACCGGAGAAGGCGUCCAUAAAACUAAGCAUCUCAUGCCCCGCUGUUGGAUCAACCAGCUGGCCUACCCGGGGAAGCGGGAAGCUAUCCUUGGGGCAGGACUUGUUCAAAUCGGUGAAGUCCACGCACAUACGCCACUUUCCGUUUGAUUUCUUGACAAGAACAACGUUGGAUACCCAAUCGGGGUACACUGCUUCCCGGAUAAACCUCGCUGCUAAUAGGCGGUCUACCUCUUGUUCAAUUGCAUCGUACCUCUCUUGGUUGAAGGCGCGACGCUUCUGUUUGACCGGUUUAUUAUGCGGGCUGACAUUGAGUUUGUGAUAAGAGAGGGAAGGUGGGAUACCUGGCAUAUCCGAGUGGGACCAAGCGAGUACAUCGUGGUACUCGCGUAGGAAGGUGAUGAGCUUCUCUCUUUGUUCCUCCGAGAGGUUGGAGCCUACUUUCACUGUUUUUGUCGGGUCGGUGGCACAAAUCGAGACUGAAAUAAGGUCUUCAACUGGGGUACCCCUCUUCUGAUCAUAGCUUGGUAGUCCAUUUGAGGUGCUGCAGCUUCUAGCGUCACUGGUGGAAUGAACUUUCGGGUGCCCGAGAUCCAACCGCCCUAAGUAUUGCGUGGGCUAGAUCCUCGAAACGCUUGUGAGAAAUAGGUUCUUCUUCUUGGCGAACACCCGUCGAUUGCUUGAUACCCUUGCCCUUGCUGAUGCGGGCUACCCUUCUUGCGGGAUCACUAUCUUUACUGUUGCUAUCAUCUCUCAUCCUUGUAGGAUCUGCCAUUAAACCUUCAGGAGGUAUGUCGGGUGCCAUAUACUGGAGUACACACAACAACUAGUUUGGUAACCGCGGUGGAGGCUUUUUGUGCGCUCCCCACAGACGGCGCCAAUUGUUUUCAACAGAUUUUGGGGUAAGAAAAUCUAAAAUCUAUCUUAAACAAUGAAUUUAUAUUUUUGGGGGAGACGGGGUACCUCACUGGUUUGUUGUGUGCAGUACGGUGUAUCUGAAAUUUGGGGGAGGUGAGAAGGGGAGAGAGAGUGGUAAUAAUGGUGAAAUGUCUAAACCAAGAGAGAUGUCCUUCAAAAUGAGGUACACGCCUGCAAAACAAUGAAAUAGAGGUUAGAGGUGAAGCCGGGGUACCCCGGCGUUCAUACUGCGAUGCUCAAGUUAGCAAACUCAAGCUUUUAUGGCAAAGAGAGCUGGCUAGGCCUUUGUAAAUUAGGGUUUAAGGUUGAAGAAAACCUAUUUUUUUGGAGUGUGAGUGUUAAUGGUGAAUGGGAGCCUCCUGGCGAAUGAAACCUAGGCGCCUUUAUAUAUGGAGUACCUCAGCUGCCACGUGGCGUACCCUUUUUAGCUAACUUCCUUUUACCUCUUUAUGAUUUUUGGGCCGUUAUGUGCAUGUUCGCGGCGUAUCUCAUCCUUUGGAAACGUGGCGCACAAUGGAGAGUGGUCCAGGGUACCUCUGCAGUAGCUGUUGGGUAGGCGGUUGGGGACCACUGUCCUUGGGACAAUGUCCUUCAUUUUGGCAUAGGUGGCAGGCGGCUGUCCUUCCUUUUAGCACAUCAUUUUUUAAUCCUAAUUCUGACAAAAUCGAAUAAUAUCUUUUAGGAGGUGGAGACGUUUCUCAUGGCGGAUAUUUUUGGAGGAUUCUCUUGCAUCCGUUCUGCCGGAUACCUCGAGUUACGUGGGAUACCUCUUAUUAUGCGGGAUACCCCUAUUUAUGUGGGGUACCUCAUAUUAUAUGGGGUACCUGUUAACAUAAAUAUGUUAAUAAUAUUGAUUUUGAUGAUAACAAAUUUUAAAUGUAUUUUGACAAAAAUAUUGGAGCUAUUUCUUAAUAAACGAAAACCCUUUUAAUCAUUGCCUUAUUUCUUCAUAAAAGAUGGAUUUUCAAAUUAGAAAUAAAUUCUCUGCAAAAACUUGUUUAAAACUGCAAUUCUGGUCAUAAACGGUGAACCGUUUAUUUUAAACGGUUAACCGAUUAAAGGCAGAGAGUAACACAUUUCCUAAACCUCUAACCGUUUAUGGAAAACGGAAAACACAAUAGAUAGGGAGGUUACUGGAAAUUAACGGUAAACCGUUUUCUUUUAAACGGUUAACCGAUUAUCACCAGAGAGCAACAUAUUUGCCUAAGCUCUAGCCGUUUAUGCUUAACGGAAAACACCCAAGAUGAGAAGGCUACUGGAAACUAACGGUGAACCGUUUAUUUUUAAACGGUUAACCGAUAACGUCCAGAAUUGAAGGUUGUCCUCCUCUGGCAUUGAUUAACGAAAACUGAUAAGGCUAAAUUAUUGUGCAGGUUACUGGAGCCAAACGGCAAACCGUUUAGUUUUAAACGGCCAACCGAUAAUACCCAAAGAAGCCACUUUAUGCAAUCCCUUAAUCGCUAAAUGAAAACGGAUUAACUGAUGUUCAUUUUUCAGGUUACUGGAGACAAUCGGCCAACCGUUUAUUUCAAACGGUUAACCGAUAAUAUCCAGAAACGUUACUUCAUGCAAGUCCUUAACCGUUUAGUGUAAACGGAUAACAAAUACUCAUCUUGCAGGUCUCUGGAAGUUAACGGCGAAAGGGCAAACAUAAACGGCAAACUGUUUAUUUGAAAUCUGGCCCAACGGUAACUUUGACCAGCCUAAACGGUUAACCGUUUAUGUUUAACGGUGAACCAUUUUCUGUCCGAUAGUUUGUAACGGCUAGAUUUUCGGCUCCAAAUAUAAAUAAGCUCAUUCAAAUUCAAAGAAGAUUGAUCACAACACAACCAUUUGAGCUAAUAUUCGAGAAUACAAUCUUCAUAGAGCUUAGAACACAUUCUUGCUUCAUCUAUUCACAUAUUAAGCAUCAUUGAGUAAUCUUAUAUAUUGUGAGAGGCAAAACAAUUUGUAAUCUUUUACUUUGAGUGAUUGUAAGUGUUGGGAUACACUUGGGUUAAGAGAUUGGGGAUAAUCUCUUGUUGUAAAGGUCCAUUGACACAUUGGAAGUCAAGUGUAAGCAUUUGAAGCCUUGGAGGCUUGCUUAGUGGAAUCCUCAAGCCCGGAAAGCUUGGAGGCGUGGACGUAGGCAAGGUUGGCCGAACCACGUAAAAAUCUCGUGUUUGAAUCUCUCUUCCCUUAUCUUUUUAUAUUGUGAUCAUCUUAAUUGUUAUUGCUUUGAAUUUGAGUUAUAAUUGCAUUAAGAUUUUCUUUAAUAUUGAAUAAUUUUUUAGAAUCCCAAUUCACCCCCCCUCUUGGGUUGCUUACUUGUAUUUCAGUACCUCUAUUUGUGUGGGGUAUCUCUAAUUGUGCAGGGUACCUCAAAUCACGCCGGGCACCUCGGAUUGUACGGGGUACCUCAGAUUCUGCUGGAAUCAUUCCAUUGGUCGACACGUGGCGCUUUACUGCCUUUCCUAUUUUUUCCUCAAACAACAACAAUGAAGAAAGGUCAGAACCAAGAAAAAAUCCUUCUAAAUGAGUUUCACGCUUGCAAAAGAGUGAAAUAGAGGUUAGAGGUUGUUUUCGAUAGAUUUUGGGGUAGGAAGAGCCAAACCUAUUUAGAACAAUGAAUUUGUAUUUUUGGGACAGACAGGGUACCUCUCUGGUUUGUUGUGUGCGGUGUAUCUGAAAUUCUGGGGGGGCGUAAAGGGUAGAGGGAGUGAUAGCAAUGGAGAAAGGUCAUAACCAAGAAAAAUGUCAUUCAAAAUGAGCUUCACGCCUGUAAAAUAAUGAAAUAAAGGUUAGAGGUGAAGCCGGGGUACCCUGGCGUUCACACUCCGACACUCAAGUUAGCAAACUCAAGUUUUUUUAUGGUCAAGAGAGCUUGUCAGCCCUCUGUAAAUCAAGGUUUAAGGCUGAAGAAAACCAAUUGUUUUCGACAGAUUUUAGGGUAGGAAAAGCCAAAAUAUAUCUUGAACAAUGAAUUUAUAUUUUUGGGGGAGAUGGGGUACCUCACUAGUUUGUUGUACGUGGUGCGGUGUAUCUGAAAUUUGGGGGAGGUGAGAAGGGUAGAGGGAGUGGUAACAAUGGUGAAAGGUCAAAACCAAGAGGGGUGUCUUUCAAAAUGGGCUUCACGCCUGCAAAACAGUGAAAUAGAGGUUAGAGGUGAAGCCAGGGUACCCCGGCGUUCACACUCCGUCGCUCAAGUUAGCAAACUCAAGCUUAUGUGGCAAAGAGAGCUGGCUAGCCCUCUGUAAAUUAGGGUUUAAGGUUGAAGAAAACGUCUUUUUUGGAGUGUGAGUGUUAAUGGUGAGUGAGAACAUGAUGGAGAAUGAAACCUAUGCGCCUUUAUAUAUGGAGUACUUCAGUUGCCACGUGGCAUACCCUUUUUGGCUAACGUCCUUUUACCUCUUUAUAAUUUUUGGGCCGUUAUCUGCAUGUUCGCGGCGUAUCUCAUAUUUUGAAAACGUGGCGCGCGCUAGAGAGUGGUCCAGGGUACCUCUGCAGUAGCUGUCGGGUAGGCGGCUGGGGACCACUAUCCUUGGGACAGUGUCAUUCACUUUUGGCAGAGGUGGCAGGUGGCUGUCCCUCCUUUUAGCACGUUGUUUUUUAUUCCUAAUUCUAAAAAAAUCAAAUAAUAUAUUUUAUGAGGUAGAGACGUUUCUCACGGUGGAUAUUUUCGGAGGAUUCUCUUACAUCUGUUCUGCCGUGUACCUCGAGUUACGCGGGGUACCUCUAAUUGUAUGGGGUACCUCAAAUCACGCCGGGCACCUCGGAUUGUCUGAGGUACCUCAGAUUGUGCUGGAAUCAUUCUAUUGGUUGACACGUGGCGCGCUAUUACCUUUCCCAUUUUUCCCUCAAACAACAUCCCCCUAGUUUCUUUUUUGUGAGAAGUAUUGGAGGCAAAAGAAACUCAUUGUAUGAGUGACACGUGGCGACGCGGCUGGACCAGGGGGUACCUUGCUUCGUUUCUUCCCUUGACUAAACUUUGUGUACUUCGAACUAAAAAUCUUCUCUUUGUCUUUUCUUUUUCCCGUUUUUUUUUUACGACGAGAACGAACAGUUGUCUUCAUGUCUCUCUUCUUUUUAUUAGGAAGUGGCAGCCGUCUGACAUGCAGUUUGAAUUUUGAAAAUACCAAUCUCACAAAAACAUCCCUGAACUCCUUUCUUGGGCAGCGUGUUCUGUCAGGUUGAAUUAAAAACUCCUGACGUGUGUCAAUCUUCUCUCAUUUAUUUUGAAAAUCCCCAAACGAUCUCCCAAAAAUUGAUUAUUUCCAGUACCCUUUUUCUUUCAUAAUUUCGUCUCUUCUCCUAACUACAUCGACAUUGCUCACAGGUAAAAAAAAAAAUUUUCUUUACUUUUUUUUUUUACGCUCGUUCAUCUUCCCCUGGGCUUUAUUCUCCCUUUACUCUUUUUCUUUUAUUUCCUUCUUCUUCUGUUUUCUUUCUUUCCCAAUUUCUUUUCUUUCUCCAUUUUCUUUCUUCCUUUUCUUUCUUUCUUCUUUCCCUCUUUUCUUUCUUCCUUUUCCUUUUUUCUUCUUUCUCUUUCUCUCUCGGCCGGCGUUGAUCUGGUACGUUUUCCAGCGUGGAUCUCGGCUACUGCAGUGGCGGUUUUGGGCUCCAGAUCUGGUUGGUUUAAGGCGGUUUUUAGGCGGCUCACGGCAGGAUCUCGGUCCGGCGAUACACACGGUAAUCCCCCUCCUUGUGUCUUCAUUUUAUCCUCACUUUCUCUCUUUUCUUUCUCUUUUUCUUCUUUCUUUCUCGUUUUGGCCGGCGUUUUUCUUGGAGAUGUCCAGCUGUUUUCAACUGAUUUUGGGGUAGGAAAAGCCAAAAUCUAUCUUGAACAAUGAAUUUAUAUUUUUGAGGGAGAUGGGGUACCUCACUAGUUUGUUGUGUGCGGUGCGGUGUAUCUGAAAUUUGUGGGAGGUGAGAAGGGGAGAAAGAGUGGUAACAAUGGUGGAAGGUCAGAAACAAGAGAGGUGUCCUUCAAAAUGAGCUUCACGCCUGCAAAACAGUGAAAUAGAGGUUAGAGGUGAAGCCGGGGUACCCCGGCGUUCACACUCCGACGCUCAAGUUAGCAAACUCAAGCUUUUAUGGCAAAGAGAGCUAGCUAGCCCUCUGUAAAUUAGGGUUUUAAGGUUGAAGAAAACCUCUUUUUUAGAGUGUGAGUGUUAAUGGUGAGUGAGAGCCCCCUUUAGAAUGAAACCUAGGCACCUUUAUAUAUGGAGUACCUCAGCUGCCACGUGGCAUACCCUUUUUGGCUAACGUCCUUUUACCUCUUUAUAAUUGUUUUUGGGCCGUUAUUUGCAUGUUCGCGGCGUAUCUCAUCUUUUGGAAACGUGGCGCGCGCUGGAGAGUGGUCCAGGGUACCUCUGCAGUAGCUGUCGGGUAGGCGGCUAGGGACCACUGUCCUUGGGACAGUGUCCUUCACUUUUGGCAGAGGUAGCAGGCGGCUGUCCCUCCUUUUAGCACGUCGCUUUUGAUUCCUAAUUCUGACAAAAUCAAAUGAUAUCUUUUAGGAGGUGGAGACGUUUCUCAUGGUGGGUAUUUUCGGUGGAUUCUCUUGCAUUCGCUUUUCCGGAUACCUCGAAUUACAUGGGGUACCCCCUAUUACGCGGGGUACCCCUAUCUGUAUGGGGUACCUCUAUUUGUAUGGGGUACCUCUAUUUGUGUGGGAUACCUCUAAUUGUGCAGGGUACCUCUAUUUAUACGGGGUACCUCAAGUCAUGCCGGGCACCUCGAAUUAUGCAGGGUACCUCCGAUUGUGCUGAUAUCAUUCCAUUGGCUGACACGUGGCGCUCUAUUACCUUUCCUACUUUUCCCUCAAACAACAUCCCCCUAGUUUCUUUUUGGCGAGAAGUAUUGGAGGCAAAAGAAACUCAUUGUAUGAGUGACACGUGGCGACGCGGCCGGACCGGAGGGUACCUUGCUUAGCUUCUUCCCUUGACUAAACUUUGUGUACUUCAAACUAAAAAUCGCCUCUUUGUCUUUUCCUUUUCCCGUUUUUUUUUUUUUUUUUUUGACGAUGAGAAAGAACAGUUGUCUUCAUAUGUCUCUCUCCUUUUUCUUGGGAAGUGGCAGCCGUCUGACACGCAGUUUGAAUUUUGAAAAUACAAAUCUCACUCAGACAUCCCUGAACUCCUUUCUUGGGCAACGUGUUCUGUCAGGUUGAAUUUAAAACUCCUGACGUGUGUCAAAAUUUUGAAAAUCCCCAAACGAACUCCAAAAAAUUGAUUAUUUCCAGUAGCCUUUUUUUUUUUUUUUUUUUUAAGCCUCGUUCAUCUUCCCUAGGCUUUAUUCUCCCUUUACUCUUUUUCUUUUAUUUCCUUCCUCUUCCAUUUUCUUUCCUUCCCAUUCUCUCUUCUUUCUCCAUUUUCUUUCUUUCUUCUUUCUUCUUUCCCUUUUUUCUUUCUUCCUUUUCUUUCUUUCUUCUUUCUUCUCUCGGCCGGCGUUCUUCUCGAGUGUUUUCCGGCGCGUUUUCUCAGCUGCUGCAGUGGUGGUUUCGGUUCCAGAUCUAAUCGGCUCAACGCGGUUUUCCGGCGGCUCACGGCGAGAUCCAAACCGGCGGUACCGCGGUAAUCCUCCCCCUUCCUUGUUUCCUCAUUUUUGUCUUACUUCCUCUCUCCUCUUUCUCCUUCUCUCUCUCUUCUUUCUCUCCUUUUUUGCGAUUUCCAGCGUCGGAUUUGAUGGUUGCGGCCAUGGCAGCCGAUUCUUCUUGGUGGCUGCAGCUUCUUGGUUUUUUUUUUUUUUUUUUUUUUGGCUGGCGUUCUUCUCAGAGUUUUCCGGCUUUUUUGUGGCCGCAGCUGCAGCGGUUAGCGUCGGUUCGGUGGCUGUUGUUCCCUCCCGCGUCGGUUUGCUGCAGCUUCUUCAUUUUUUUUUUAUUUGCUUCUCCCUUUUUUUUUUUUUUUUUGGCCGGCGCUCUCCCUUGGUAGUUUCCGGCGUUCUUUUUGCGAUCUCCGUCGUCGGUUCUCGGUGGUUGCCGCCAUGGCAGCCGGCGUUGGUUCUUGGUUGCAGCCCUUCAUUCUUCAUUAUAUUUAUUUACUUAUUUAUAAAUAAGUACAUAUAUUUAAGUUUAUUUUUAUUUUUAUAUUUGCAUAUUUUUACUCACUGUUUUUGGUUGCCUGCAGCUUCGUCUUGCCACGAUUUUCAAUCCCGAUCUACUGAGUUGGUGAACCAUAGGUAUCCCUCAUCAUUUCUCCUCCUUUGGCGCAUUUACAGUGGCGCUAUUUUGCAUACUCUGAGAAAAAUUUAUUUUUGGUUUUUUUUGUUGUGUUUGUUUGUUUUUUUUUUGUUGGUUGGUGUUUGCAUUUGGUGGUUGAUGUGCGGUGGAUGGUGCUUGGUAUGGACAUGUUGCUGUUUGGGAAACGUGUGGUUUGCUGGAUGUGUCGUUGGGGGCUUGUGGAUGUGUUGUUGGGGGAAAGUAGAUGGGUAAGAAACACACGGGACCCCCGAUGAAGCGACGUAAAGUUGGGGCUAGUAGGGUUGACAGCCUUUCUACGGGUUUCCCUUCCCACAUCUCCAUUAGCGAGGGGGAUCGGUCCCCUCCUAGUUCCUCCAAGAGUUGUAAUUCUCGUUCUGAGCCCCCUCCCCCUAGGAGUACCCCUCGUGUCAGCCCACGCUUUCCUAGUAAACGGCCUACCCCCCAUCCUCGAAAGAAGGGUAAGCCAACCAAGCCUAAGGUUCCAGCUCGUUCCUUGAUCCAGCCGCCUAAGUCUCCCCCUGCCACACCUUCAAAAUCUAGUAACCCUUUUUCCCUAGGCAUUAGGAGGGAUAUUUUGGGGGACUUAGAACAAAUUAGAGCCAAAUACAAUAUUCCUCCGUCUGUCCAGCUUAGGGUACCCCAUAUAGAUGAGCGACCCGAGUGUCCAAAGUCUGAUGGGAUUGCUCUCCAUAUCGACCUCUUCGAUUUAGGACUCCGCCUACCCCUCUAACCAUUCUUUAUGAAAAUGUUUAGUUAUUUGGGGGUAGCUCCUGGGCAGCUGUCCCUUCCAGGGUGGAGGACACUGACGGGCUUACAUGUGUUAUAGUUGGAGGUCGUGAAGCGCGACAUUUCUGUUCAGGAGUUGAUGGGCCUUUACCAAUUCAAGAAGCCUAAGGGUCCCGGCAUUGCUUACUUCUCCCCCUGGGGUGAUCAUGGCCACAUCGUUGAGGGGAACCCCGCCUUGAAGAAGGGUUACCGAAAGGGAUGGUUUGUCGCUGAGGGUAGGUGGGGGACAGAGACUCUAGGUGAGAAGGGCGACCCCGUGGAGGUUCCUCAUUCCCUCAACGUAGACUGUAAGUAUCUCCCUUACUUAUGGUUCUUUAUCGGAAUCUUUCGCCUGAAUGUCUCGCUAACCUUGAGUUCUUUAUGCUUUCGCAGGUGUGACAUGGGCUAAAGGAUCAUGCCCAGUUCAGGAGGUGGGGAGAGAGGUGAAGAAGUUUGUGGACAGGCUUCGAGGUGCACAGAGGGGUAGUGAUGUGCUGGAGGAGAGCCGAUUAUGGAGAGCGGGGCUGAUUGACCGAAGUCCUACACCUGCUCCUGGGGGUGACUCAUGUAUGAUUUGGGUGUCGGGGGUAUCCUAUUAUUACUUAUGGGACUGGGGUACCCCAUUAUCAUUGCAUUCUUCGUUUCGCUUCCCCUCUUUCCUUUUCCCAUUUUUUACUUUUGCAGUACUUAGUACUUGUCCAGCUAACAUAACUUUUGUGCAUUGGGUGCAGUCAUGGAAUCAACGGGUGACGCUUUUGACGCCUUCUUCCAAGCGGUAGUGGGCGGUGCUUCCGGAUCUCAGGAUUCGGCGGUACCCCCGAAAGGCUCCCGACCUCCUCGAGCUCCCGGUCCAAAGGGGAAAUCUCAGGGCACCUCCCACAGCGGGUCGAAGGGUACCCCUCGCUCGAAGAAGAGAAAAUUCGGGCUGGUUUCUACUUUCCCUGAUGAGUUACGUGAGGGUGACUUAGACCCGGCUUCUAACAAGGAGGUUUCGCACUUGGCUCGCCACUUUUACUACUCUGCUGAAAAUGUUACCUCCGAGGUUGCUGAAGAGGCUGACAAGUUGAGCUUGAGCCAGCGUUACGGUCAAGCACUUAGGGCUACCCAAGAGGUAGGCUUUCCCGGGGUACCCCGGGUGUACUCUUCAUCAUUUUCUUUUUACUUAUUUAAUCUUUUUUGUCAUACACAUAUAUUUAACAUGUCUUUCAUGACCCGCAGGCAUCCUUUCUCCUUAGCCACUGCCUUCCGGAUCUUGACUCCCUUGUUGCCGCACAUUCAGAGGUCGACAAGUUAAGGAGUGAGCUUCAAAGCCAUCAAUCUCGUGAGGAUCAGCUCGCUCGAGAAGUUAAAACUCUGCAAGAACGCAUUGCUGGCCUGUCGGGAGAGAAAGCUAGGGUGGAGAAGGAUUGUGAGGAGUUGAGGGCCACCAACGGAGAUCUGCUAUCUCGACAAAAGACGAUGGCGGAGGAUGCAUUCUCACUCAUCAUGACGGAGGUGUGGAGUAUGGAUCCGGAGUUGGAGGUACCCUGCGUGCAGAAAUUUGUCAACAAGGCUACGAUUCUGAAGACGAUUGCAGAAAGAAAGAAGUCUUCUCAGGCACGGUCGGGUACCCCUUCUGGGUCACCUAGGGUACCCCGUGCGCUUCAGCCGUUGCCUGCCUCGGAUGCCCC
rnacentral:lncRNA from 1 species